AUGUUGUAUUAUUCUUUUUAUACGGUUGAAUUCAAUAUGCUAAAAUUUUGUUUAAAUUUUUUUUGCUUUAAUGUAUAUUUGAGACAUAUUCGUCUUAUUGACUAUGCCAAAGCCUUUGACUGUGUGGAUCACAAUAAACUGUGGAAAAUUCUGAAAGAGAUGGGCAUACCAGACCACCUGACCUGCCUCUUGAGAAACCUGUAUGCAGGCCAGGAAGCAACAGUUAGAACUGGACAUGGAACAACAGAUUGUUUCCAAAUAGGAAAAGGAGUACAUCCAGGCUGUAUGUUGCCACCCUGCUUAUUUAACUUCUAUGCAGAGUACAUCAUGAGAAACGCUGGACUGGAAGAAACACAAGCUGGAAUCAAGAUUGCCGGGAGAAAUAUCAAUAACCUCAGAUAUGCAGAUGACACCACCCUUAUGGCAGAAAGUGAAGAGGAGCUAAAAAGCCUCUUGAUGAAAGUGAAAGAGGAGAGUGAAAAAGUUGGCUUAAAGCUCAACAUUCAGAAAAUGAAGAUCAUGGCAUCCAGUCCCAUCACUUCAUGGGAAAUAGAUGGGGAAACAGUGGAAACAGUGUCAGACUUUAUUUUUUGGGGCUCCAAAAUCACUACAGAUGGUGACUGCAGCCAUGAAAUUAAAAGACACUUACUCCUUGGAAGAAAAGUUAUGACCAAUCUAGAUAGCAUAUUCAAAAGCAGAGACAUUACUUUCCCAACAAAGGUCUGUCUAGUCAAGGCUAUGGUUUUUCCUGUGGUCCUGUAUGGAUGUGAGAGUUGGACUGUGAAGAAAGCUGAGGGCCGAAGAAGUGAUGCUUUUGAACUGUGGUGUUGGAGAAGACUCUUGAGAAUCCCUUGGACUGCAAGGAGAUCCAGCCAGUCCAUUCUGAAGGAGAUCAGCCCUGGGAUUUCUUUGGAAGGAAUGAUGCUAAAGCGGAAACUCCAAUACUUUGGCCACCUCAUGCGAAGAGUUGACUCAUUGGAAAAGACUCUGAUGCUGGGAGGGAUUGGGAGCAAGAGGAGAAGGGGACGACAGAGGAUGAGAUGGCUGGAUGGCAUCAUGGAUUCGAUGGACGUGAGUCUGAGUGAACUCCAGGACUUGGUGAUGCACAGGGAGGCCUGGCGUGCUGCAAUUUAUGGGGUCGCAAAGAGUCGGACACAACUGAGCGACUGA
rnacentral:lncRNA from 1 species